rnacentral:rRNA from 1 species
UACGGAGGAUGCAAGCGUUAUCCGGAGUGAUUGGGCGUAAAGCGUCCGCAGGUGGCAAUGUAAGUCUGCUGUCAAAGCGUCUGGCUCAACCAGAUAAAGGCAGUGGAAACUACAUAGCUAGAGUAAGGUAGGGGUAGAGGGAAUUCCUGGUGUAGCGGUGAAAUGCGUAGAGAUCAGGAAGAACACCGGUGGCGAAAGCGCUCUGCUGGACCUUAACUGACACUGAGGGACGAAAGCUAGGGGAGUGAAUGGG